UACGGGGGGAGCAAGCGUUGUUCGGAUUUACUGGGCGUAAAGGGCGCGUAGGCGGCCACCGCAAGUCGGUUGUGAAAUCUCCGGGCUUAACCCGGAAAGGUCAACCGAUACUGCGGGGCUAGAGUGCAGAAGGGGCAACUGGAAUUCUCGGUGUAGCGGUGAAAUGCGUAGAUAUCGGGAGGAACACCAAUGGCGAAGGCAGCUCGCUGGGACGUUACUGACGCUGAGACGCGAAAGCGUGGGGAGCAAACAGG
rnacentral:rRNA from 1 species